CCUACGGGAGGCAGCAGUCAGGAAUAUUGGUCAAUGGGCGCGAGCCUGAACCAGCCAAGUAGCGUGAAGGAUGACUGCCCUACGGGUUGUAAACUUCUGUUAUAAAGGAAUAAAGUGAGGCACGUGUGCCUUUUUGUGUGUACUUUAUGAAUAAGGAUCGGCUAACUCCGUGACAGCAGCCGCGGUAAUCCGGAGGAUCCGAGCGUUAUCCGGAUUUAUUGGGGUUAAAGGGAGCGUAGAUGGGUUGUUAAGUCAGUGGUGAAAGUUUGCGGCUCAACCGUAAAAUUGCAAUUGAUACUGGCAGUCUUGAGUACAGGUGAGGGAGGCGGAAUUCGUGGUGUAGCGGUGAAAUGCUUAGAUAUCACGAAGAACGCCGAUUGCGAAGGCAGCUUACUAGACUGCCACUGACAUUGAUGCUCGAAAGUGUGGGGAUCAAACAGGAUUAGAUACCCGUGUAGUC
rnacentral:rRNA from 1 species